GUAGGGAAUAUUGCGCAAUGGGGGAAACCCUGACGCAGCGACGCCGCGUGAGUGAUGAAGGCCUUCGGGUCGUAAAGCUCUGUUGCAGGGGAAUAAAAAAAUGAAGGUACCCUGUGAGGAAGGAUCGGCUAACUUCGUGCCAGCAGCCGCGGUAAGACGAGGGAUCCUAGCGUUGCUCGGAAUCAUUGGGCGUAAAGAGGGCGUAGGUGGCUUGGUAAGUCAGGUGUGAAAGCCCAGGGCUCAACCCUGGAAGUGCAUUUGAUACUGCUGAGCUUGAGUGUCGGAGAGGUUACCGGAAUUCCUGGUGUAGUGGUGAAAUACGUAGAUAUCAGGUGGAACACCGGAGGCGAAGGCGGGUAACUGGACGAACACUGACACUGAGGCCCGAAAGCGUGGGGAUCAAACAGGAUUAGAAACCCUGGUAGUCC
rnacentral:rRNA from 1 species